GGAAAUGGAGGAGCUAAGAUGAUACCUGGGAGCAGAGCAGGGGAGGAGCCCAGGAGUGACCAACAGCGGGAAGCCGGAGCCCCGAAGCCUGCACGGUCAGCUCUGAGGCCGGGUCUGCCUGGCGGGUUUAGGAGCCAGAGACGGCGGAGCCCCUGCCCCAAGCAGGCUGCCCAUCGAUGCUGAAACAAAGUCUGACUUGAG
rnacentral:lncRNA from 1 species